GAAUUUAGGUUGUGUCUCACCAGGAGCUAACAGCACCAGCCGAAGCUGGGACCAGAGGAAACUAAAACUUCUAUGGCUGCACACCUGCACGUACGCCAAAGGGGAGUUUGACAAUGAGUCCAUUGCUUUCCACUACAAAUGUCUGUAGCCCCCAAAACUUGUUUGAGCUCUCCUGCACGGCAGUGGGCUCUGGGGUGAUGAUCUCCCCUUGAGCAGGGACACCUCUCAGGGCUACUCCUCGAGGUCAAGAGAUCCCUUGCCUGGCAUCUGGUACCUACAGCGAGGAGUCUGAUUUAACCGAAGGCCCAAUUAUGAAGAAGGAAAGCAGAUGCAUAGAAGAGUUGCAAACAGCAUGAUUUGGAAACCACAUGUGAAAAAAGAAUCCAUGUUACAGCUAAGCUGAUCUAACAAGGAUCAAAGAAAGCCUGGCUGGAAGUGAAGGGUGGAAAGGAGAGAGUGGUCUUGUUCCUUUUUGGCAGCAACUACCCU